GCAAGUCGAACGAGAAAGUCACUUCGGUGGCGAGUAGAGUGGCGCACGGGUGAGUAACACGUAGGUGACGUACCCAUUUGUGGGGAAUAACUUCGGGAAACCGGAGCUAAUACCGCAUAAGCUAAACAAUUUUGGAAAUAGUUUAGGAAAGAUGACCUCUCCUUGGAAGUUAUCGCAGAUGGAGCGGCCUGCGCGACAUUAGCUUGUUGGUGGGGUAAUGGCCUACCAAGGCUGCGAUGUCUAGCUGGUCUGAGAGGAUGAUC
rnacentral:rRNA from 1 species